UACGUAGGGGGCAAGCGUUGUCCGGAAUCAUUGGGCGUAAAGCGCGCGUAGGCGGCCCGAUAAGUCUGCUGUGAAAGUCCAGGGCUCAACCCUGGAAUGCCGGUGGAUACUGUCGGGCUAGAGUUCGGAAGAGGCAAGUGGAAUUCCUGGUGUAGCGGUGGAAUGCGCAGACAUCAGGAGGAACACCUAUAGCGAAGGCAGCUUGCUGGGACGACACUGACGCUGAGGCGCGAAAGCGUGGGGAGCGAACAGG
rnacentral:rRNA from 1 species